rnacentral:tRNA from 1 species
GGGGACGUGGCGGAAUUGGCAGACGCGCUUGCCUUAGGAGCAAGUGUCUCACGACGUGAGAGUUCGAGUCUCUCCGUCCCCACCA